AGUGAACGCUGGCGGCAGGCCUAACACAUGCAAGUCGAGCGGCAGCGCGGGGCAACCUGGCGGCGAGCGGCGGACGGGUGAGGAAUGCAUCGGAAUCUACCCUGACGUGGGGGAUAACGUAGGGAAACUUACGCUAAUACCGCAUACGACCGAGAGGUGAAAGUGGGGGACCGCAAGGCCUCACGCGAUUGGAUGAGCCG
rnacentral:rRNA from 1 species